rnacentral:rRNA from 1 species
GUAGGAGACUUCGGUGAGAUUCUAUAUUGCUAUGAAAAAGAAGGAGGUAAGCAACAUCCCCAGAGGUGUAUGCAACUCUUCCAGGAUCUUCUAACAGAAUAUGAUAUAGAGGAUCUAGGAUUUUCCGGUGAUAUGUUUACAUGAAUACGUGGCAGAAUCCGGGGUAGACUAGAUCAAGCCAUUGGAAACUAGAGUUGGAUUGAUAUGUUCCAACACUUUCGGGUGAUUAAUGAAGAGUUUGGUAAGCCAUAUCGCUGCCAUGUACUGAUUGAUAUUGAAUUUCAGGUGGGAGCUAUACAUAAAGUUCGAGAUAUGCAAAACAAUUUGAGGCCCGUUGGUUAUGCGAGGAAUAAGUGGAGACUAUUAUCCAAAUAUCUUGGACCGCACCCAACUCCAUGCUUCUUCCCUGGUUAA